rnacentral:rRNA from 1 species
UGAGGAAUAUUGGUCAAUGGACGAGAGUCUGAACCAGCCAAGUAGCGUGAAGGAUGACUGCCCUAUGGGUUGUAAACUUCUUUUAUACGGGAAUAAAGUGAGGCACGUGUGCCUUUUUGUAUGUACCGUAUGAAUAAGGAUCGGCUAACUCCGUGCCAGCAGCCGCGGUAAUACGGAGGAUCCGAGCGUUAUCCGGAUUUAUUGGGUUUAAAGGGAGCGUAGGCGGACGCUUAAGUCAGUUGUGAAAGUUUGCGGCUCAACCGUAAAAUUGCAGUUGAUACUGGGUGUCUUGAGUACAGUAGAGGCAGGCGGAAUUCGUGGUGUAGCGGUGAAAUGCGUAGAUAUUAGGAGGAACACCAGUGGCGAAGGCGGCUUACUGGACGGCAACUGACGUUGAGCUCGAAAGCGUGGGGGAGCAAACAGGAUUAGAUACC